rnacentral:rRNA from 1 species
GACGAACGCUGGCGGCGUGCUUAACACAUGCAAGUCGAACGGAAAGGCCCUGCUUUUGUGGGGUGCUCGAGUGGCGAACGGGUGAGUAACACGUGAGUAACCUGCCCUUGACUUUGGGAUAACUUCAGGAAACUGGGGCUAAUACCGGAUAGGAGCUCCUGCUGCAUGGUGGGGGUUGGAAAGUUUCGGCGGUUGGGGAUGGACUCGCGGCUUAUCAGCUUGUUGGUGGGGUAGUGGCUUACCAAGGCUUUGACGGGUAGCCGGCCUGAGAGGGUGACCGGCCACAUGGGGACUGAGAUACGGCCCAGACUCCUACGGGAGGCAACAGUGGGGAAUAUUGCACAAUGGGCGGAAGCCUGAUGCAGCAACGCCGCGUGCGGGAUGACGGCCUUCGGGUUGUAAACCGCUUUCGCCUGUGACGAAGCGUGAGUGACGGUAAUGGGUAAAGAAGCACCGGCUAACUACGUG